rnacentral:rRNA from 1 species
CCUACGGGAGGCAGCAGUGAGGAAUAUUGGUCAAUGGACGAGAGUCUGAACCAGCCAAGUAGCGUGAAGGAUGACUGCCCUAUGGGUUGUAAACUUCUUUUAUAUGGGAAUAAAACGUUCCACGUGUGGGAUUUUGUAUGUACCAUAUGAAUAAGGAUCGGCUAACUCCGGGCCAGCAGCCGCGGUAAUACGGAGGAACCGAGCGUUAUCCGGAUUUAUUGGGUUUAAAGGGAGCGUAGGUGGAUUGUUAAGUCAGUUGUGAAAGUUUGCGGCUCAACCGUAAAAUUGCAGUUGAAACUGGCAGUCUUGAGUACAGUAGAGGUGGGCGGAAUUCGUGGUGUAGCGGUGAAAUGCUUAGAUAUCACGAAGAACUCCGAUUGCGAAGGCAGUUCACUGGACUGCAACUGACACUGAGGCUCGAAAGUGUGGGUAUCAAACAGGAUUAGAUACCCGAGUAGUC